rnacentral:rRNA from 1 species
AAGGCAUCGAUGGGUAGGGGUUCUGAGAGGAAGGUCCCCCACAUUGGAACUGAGACACGGCCCUUACUCCUACGGGAGGCAGCAGUGGGGAAUAUUGGACAAUGGACCAAAAGUCUGAUCCAGCAAUUCUGUGUGCACGAUGAAGUUUUUCGGAAUGUAAAGUGCUUUCAGUUGGGAAGAAAAAAGUGACGGUACCAACAGAAGAAGCGACGGCUAAAUACGUGCCAGCAGCCGCGGUAAUACGUAUGUCGCAAGCGUUAUCCGGAUUUAUUGGGCGUAAAGCGCGUCUAGGCGGUUUGGUAAGUCUGAUGUGAAAAUGCGGGGCUCAACUCCGUAUUGCGUUGGAAACUGCCAAACUAGAGUACUGGAGAGGUAGGCGGAACUACAAGUGUAGAGGUGAAAUUCGUAGAUAUUUGUAGGAAUGCCGAUGGGGAAGCCAGCCUACUGGACAGAUACUGACGCUAAAGCGCGAAAGCGUGGGUAGCAAACAGG